GAGUUUGAUCUUGGCUCAGAACGAACGCUGGCGGCAGGCUUAACACAUGCAAGUCGAACGGGCGCAGCAAUGCGUCAGUGGCGCACGGGUGAGUAACGCGUGGGUAAUCUGCCUUAGGGUCUAGGACAACCCCGGGAAACUGGGGCUAAUACUGGAUAAGACCACGAGCUCUUCGGAGCUUGCGGGAAAAGAUGGCCUCUCCUUGGAAGCUAUCGCCCUUCGAUGAGCCCGCGUCCCAUUAGCUAGUUGGUGAGGUGACGGCUCACCAAGGCUUUGAUGGGUAGCUGGUCUGAGAGGAUGAUCAGCCACACUGGGACUGAGACACGGCCCAGACUCCUACGGGAGGCAGCAGUGGGGAAUAUUGGACAAUGGGCGAAAGCCUGAUCCAGCCAUGCCGCGUGAGUGAUGAAGGCCUUAGGGUUGUAAAGCUCUUUCAGU
rnacentral:rRNA from 1 species